GCGUGGGACGCGGCGGACAAUGGUGCUGUUAUGGUGGCAUGUCUCGCUCGCCACGCCACGCCGCCCUACGCCUGCCACGCCUCGCCCCUGCACCCCACCCGCCUCCCUCACCGCCGCCUGCCGUGUGCACGUGCUGGCGUGGGUAUCACCGGUAGCCGCGUGUAAGGGCCGCCGCUCAUUAUGCUUUGGAUUCAUUGGAUUUGGUCUUAUAUGGGGGCAGUGUAAGAAUGGGAUAAUCACGGGUAUUUACAUAUCAUUAUCGGGUGUGGCCUGUGUAGACAAGGGAACAAAAAGUGGAUCCGACAACAGCUGCCCGCGGGCACACCUGGCGUAGUCCAGCACGUGCGUUGCCAUGACUACAGCGUCUUGCCCCGCGCUGUCGGACGCACAAGUCGAUGCCAACUUGUUUUACCUCGUGAACCUAUGCGCACAGUAUUUCAGCGGUGUUAACUUGAGGGCUCCACCUUACCAAAAGAGUAAUCAAAUACCUGUUCAGUAACUCGUGCAUGCAAAGGGAAGCAAAGGGCCACACAAACUUGUAAUGACCAAGUCUGCCUGGCGGCCACUUCUCAGCCAGUCAUCACCCGGCCAGCGGAGGAUGUGGAUGCGUGACGCUCUCUCCGCCCGCCGUGCUUCUUCUGGCCCCCGGGCUCUCUGAAUCUCCACGCGCGGGAUCUUGGCGGUGCUGCUGUUGGGGUUUUGUAUCACUUUUGUGCCUCAGGCUCCGGCACACUGAAGAGCAGGAUUAAUGUCGGGAACAAGCUGAAAAAGUGUUGGAAACGAGUGUUUCAACAAGUGUCUAAUUGAAGGCUUUGAUCUCUGUCCUGUAUCCUCGUCAACCAUGGGCGGGACAUGUACGUCCAGCUCCUUCCUGCCGCUGCUGCUCGCCACCCUCAGCAUCACGCACGAGUGGUGAGCAUUAUCAUACACGAUAGAUGAGUCUGCCUGUCCAGCGAGGGUAAGGGACGUGAAAGUGUACGCUCCUCAGCUUUACUUUGCCCAUCGCCUGACGUUUGCAGCUCAACACACAGCGCAAUACACAGCGCAACACACAACGCUGCCGCUCGCUAUGAAGAUUAUUUCGCGCCGCGGUGCUCCUGGCUCGCAAACGUCUCAAUAAACGGAGCGUCGAUGUUACUUUAUCGUCAACCUUUUUACGUCUCUGUUGAGCUUGUUUUGACCCGAGUGAUGUUUAUGUCAGCAGACGAGAGAACUUAAUAAAUUGAGGCACAUUA